GAUGAAGAACGUAGUGAAAUGCGAUAAGUAAUGUGAAUUGCAGAAUUCAGUGAAUCAUCGAAUCUUUGAACGCACCUUGCACCCUUUGGCAUUCCGAAGGGUAUGCUCGUUUGAGUGUCAUUGUACUCUCACUCUCCCGAUGCUUUUGGAUCGGGAGUGGUGGACUUGGGUGUUGCUGCUUUGCUGUGGCUCGACUCAAAUGGAGUAGUGCAACUCUUGGUUGGACAUAGUACGGCGUGAUAAGUGUCUUCGCCGGCGCCUCAUUAUAGAGGGUGGCCGAUCGGGAGCUCUGUGCUUCAAACCGUCUUCGGACAACAUCUGACAACUUGACCUCAAAUCGAGUAGGACUACCCGCUGAACUUAAGCAUAUCAAUAAGCGGAGGA
rnacentral:misc_RNA from 1 species